AAGCCCAGGGUGUUACAGACGGUCAAUGGGUCACCCUCUCUUCUCCGUCGGCGGCGAUGGGCCUGGUACCGGUGCGCCCUCUGCUGUCUCUUCUUCCCCACACGUCCCUGCUCUAUCCUCUCCUCUCCGGCGCGCCCAAUCCUCAACAUGCUGCCGACUCAUGCAGGAGCAAACAAUGAACACAAGUCAGAUCAAAGGAAAAGGCAAUAUGACCUUAUCGAAUCUCCUCCGAAAAGGUUAAGAAAAGGAUGUUUACAUAUCCAAAGCAGUGAUGAUGAUGUCCAAGAGAACUAAAGAUGGUUGUUUAAAACACCAAAUUUGCUUGCUUCUCACACGCUAUCUUUUGCAAACUUUAGCCUAAUCCGCUGUAAAGCAUAUUUGCUUGAUAAAGUCCCCUGAACUUUCUUUUGAUGCAAACAAGAUCUCCAUGCUGAAUCAAACAUGGUAGAUAAAAGGGCAUAUCUCUAUAGUUCUGACAUGCCACCUUUUGCGGUCUCUAGGACCAAUAUUUUG